GAUGAACGCUGGCGGCGUGCCUAAUACAUGCAAGUCGAGCGAACGGACGAGAAGCUUGCUUUUCUGAUGUUAGCGGCGGACGGGUGAGUAACACGUGGAUAACCUACCUAUAAGACUGGGAUAACUUCGGGAAACCGGAGCUAAUACCGGAUAAUAUUUUGAACCGCAUGGUUCAAAAGUGAAAGACGGUCUUGCUGUCACUUAUAGAUGGAUCCGCGCUGCAUUAGCUAGUUGGUAAGGUAACGGCUUACCAAGGCAACGAUGCAUAGCCGACCUGAGAGGGUGAUCGGCCACACUGGAACAGAGACACGGUCCAGACUCCUACGGGAGGCAGCAGUAGGGAAUCUUCCGCAAUGGGCGAAAGCCUGACGGAGCAACGCCGCGUGAGUGAUGAAGGUCUUCGGAUCGUAAAACUCUGUUAUUAGGGAAGAACAUAUGUGUAAGUAACUGUGCACAUCUUGACGGUACCUAAUCAGAAAGCCACGGCUAACUACGUG
rnacentral:rRNA from 1 species